ACCAAAACUAAAAUUCUAAUAUCCCGGGAUAGUGAGAUACUGUACCCACGUCGUCCUCACUAUCAGCUCCAACAUAACCUUCGACCUUACUCGCUGCUCUGAAUUUUGCCUAAAAACUUUGAAUCUUCACAAAAAAAGUCCCUAAUUCCUUGAUUUCGGUUAGCAUAUAAUCAUCUCAACCCAUUUCUUACUUAUCUCUUUAAUUUUUUUUUUCUGUAUAUUUGAAGCGUAUGAUGUGAAUUUCAGAUUGAAUUAAUACUCUUCAUAAUUUGCCAAAAACGUUAUCUUAAUUGAGUUUUAGGGUUAAUUUGUAUUGUGACUUUGGAUUCAUCGUUGCUAUUGUUUGUUGGAGAAAAAUUAUCAAGAUUCAACCCAAAGAUCUAGUAUGUUUUUUUUUUUUCCUCAAUUUUUUUCUUUAAUUAUUAUGUAUGUUGAUAGUUGCAUGCAUGAUAGUUAUAAUCUCCAAUUAUAGUUGAACAAUUGGUUGAAUUAUCAAAUAAAUUGAGUGAUUGAAUUGGUUUAUUAUAUUCUAACUUUUUUUAUUGGUAAAGAAAUUCACACAUACAGGCUACAACCUUUUAUUUCUAUACUAAUAGCUGAUAUUGUGUUUAAAGUCGAUAUAGAAAACUUCGCUCUGUUCUUGUUCUGAAUACUGUUUGCCACAAUUCUCAUUGUUUUGUUUGAUUGGAAAUGACCAAGUAUUAUUAUUUCUUACUUAUCCAAGGAUCAGAACAAGGUUGUUUUUUUUAAAAGAUUAUCGCUCUAUUUCCCCCCUUUUCUUAGCAUUUUUCCUCUCUUGACUGAAAUUUAUUCUGUUUUGAAAAUUAGAGUAAGGACUUUUCUAGCUGUUGAUAUAGAAGUGUAAAUACUGAAGCUUUGAUAUUCAACUUGGUGGAAUAAUUACAUGCCUAAAUAUUUUGUUGGCCUUGGAAGCUUUAAAGCUUAAGGGCCUUUUAACAAAUAAACAAAUUACCGAACUAUGCUUAUUCUAUGGAAGCUAAGACUUAUAUAGUCUGAAAGGCUUGUAUACAUUUUAUACAACAAAGAAAUACAUGAUUCUAAACCUAAUUGUUAAACCCUAUAAUUGUUACUCGAAUUAUAUUCUAACUUUUUUAUUGGUAAAGAUUUGGAAGUUCUAUCCUAUGUUAUGGUAUGUGUUUGUCUUGAUUGGUAGUGUCAUAGUAUUCUGUUGACUGCCAAUUGCAAUUUAGCUUUGUGACUGUAAUGCUGUUUGAACCUGUGGACUGUUUGAGAAUUUAUAUAGUGUUAGUGUGAACUCUCUGUCUAGUUUUCUCGUGAUCCGUUUGAUAGGCCGUAUUGAGAAUGAAUUUUUAUGUAUUUUUGUAAGGAAAGGCUCAUAUAAAUGUCCAUGGUAAUGCUUGUCCAUCCCUCAAGACCCCAUGUAUAUAAUCGUCAUCAUAAAUUUGUGUCAUCAUUCAUGACCAAUUUAGAAGUGGUGUUGGGUGGUUACGGAAACUUAUGUAGAAAAACACAUUGCCUCAAGUUAUUACUAACAAAAUAUUUCAUUAGUGCUUCUUAAGGUGGUUUGAGUUUCAUGGUAAGAUAAUUUUUGUCCUCAGUUUUAAUGGUGUUUAAGUUUGGAUACUUGAGGUACUGAAAAUCACUAGGCUUUUCAUAUUUUGCUUUGCUCCUUUUUUUGGUUUUGAUGAUUCUUAACUGUUUGCAUAAGGUGUUAGUGUAUUCUUAAGGCCUGACCUUGUAGGCUUGUACUCACUUGAGUUAUUGAAUCUUUUACUAAGAGCAUUAUGCCUAAGUUUUGGUAGGAAGGAGUGUCGUAGUAAAAUCUAAUGUAAGACGGAGAAAGGACUUUAUGUGGGGAAAUGUUGUUUUGUUGCAUUCCCUAUGUUAUGAUUGUGUUCAAUCAGUCGUUUAAUUAAAUGUUUACAUAUACAUUGCAUUCAAACUUGAGAUUCUUUUUUAAAUUGAAACAAAUGCACAACUACAAUUAACCAACAGAUUUGUUGACCUCAUUAACGCACAAGUCAUCAGAGGAGAAGCUGUGGUAUUUGAAGUGCAAAGAAGUGGAAAAUCAAAAGCUAAAAAGCAGGAGAAACGGCUGCAAGAAUUGGAGCAUUCAUCCUUUUGGUCACUAAUUGCUUAGUUUAGCCGACUCUUGAAGACAGCUAUACCAAGAAAGAGAUACGAGACAUCCAAGGUCAGUCCCAGAUCAUAAUACUCCUGUGAAGGUAGAGGUACAUGUAUUUGACCCAAGCAACUUAGGAAAGCCAUCAUUAUCUGAGGAUGAGGAGUAAUGAUCUACAUUUAUGACCAGUUUACUUUGCUUGUUGCAGUUGUUUAAUGGUGUCUCAUAAUGAGUUACAAAAGUAAAAGAACUGCUUUAACUCUUGGCGAGGCUCAAUUUUCUUAAAAUAAGAAACCCACUUCGACAUCCUUACAAUCUAAGUCCAGCCAUAUUGCAGUGUCACAAUCCAACUUUUCAGAGUCUUCUAACCCAUCCACCCAAUGUGGACCAUUUAGCCCUCCGACACUUGGAAGAUCACAAACAUUUGGACACAUAUCGCAACCAAUCAAAUCUUCUAUUAAUGAAUCAAAACCCACAUCUACAUCAUCUUCAUCUGUAGCUGCUGCAUCAAAAGCAGGUAUGCCAACUAUAUAUAAUUCCAUCAAACUCCAAACAUAAGAUGUCAUCAAGACCUCCUUUAAUCCCAUCACAACCUAGAUCGUAUCCUAUGUUACAAUCUGUAACACCACAAACAUCACAACUCCCUCAUAAAGAAACACUACAGCCUCACAAAGGAACAACUCAACCUACUAAAGCAUCAAAGCAGCAUAAGGCUAUAGAGCAUCCGACUAUUCCACCUUUUACUAGAGCUAAAUCUGGUGCACUGCCGUCACAAGAAACAACACAAGUCCCUCAUAAAGAAACAACUCAGCCGACUAAAGCAUCAAAGUAGCCUCAAAAAGCUACAGAACAUCCGAGUAAACAACCUUUUCCUAGAGCUAAAACAGGUGCACUGCUGGUGGCAGCUACACAACAACCUAUUGUCUCUCCUUAGACUGGAGCUAAAUCCCAAUUAGAAAGAAGAGUUGUUUCACCCUUGGAAGCUAUGCAACAAACUCAAAAGAAGCAUCCUAUGAUGUCUUCUAAUUUUUGAGGUGAACCCUUGACACAACCUCAAAUGAAUACAACCUGUUCAGUGGGACUCCAAAAGGAGAAGUCUCAUGCAUAUAUUCAUGCUGAAAGCAACAAAAGGUUAAAUUUUAACUCUGACGAACCUGAAUCUCAGUCAGAGAGUGAAAAAGAGUUGACUGAGUCAGGUGGAGUGGACAGUGGUUGUGGCAUUUGAUGUCGAUGGAACACGACACCUUGUGAAGGGUUCUGUUCAGCCUCGAGAUGUGUGGAAUAAUGCACCAGGAUUUAGGUACUUCGUCCAAUUUAAUGAAUUCAACCAACCUCUUCACAAAGGUGGCUCCAUCCUUGUGAGUUUCUUAGGAGACAUUGCUAAACGAGAAGAAUUUUGUCCCGUGGGAAUUUUAAUUUGGCAUAAGUUGAGCUCGAAUAUGAGAGGCAAUAUUGUUAACCUUGUUCAGGCACAUUUUCUGUUACUCGAAGGAAAGGAAAUGAGGAAUGCUAUUUUGAAGCGUAUUGGCAAAGCAUGGAAAAAUCAUAGAUAUGCAUUAAAGAAGGAUUAUUUGAUCCUGUGGAAAAAACGCGUGAGCAAAAUUAUGCUAGUAUACCUGAUGGAAUCACAAUUCAAAAUUGGAGUUUUCUGGUUGAUUAUUGGCUUUCAUCAGACACCAAGAAAAUGUCUGAACUCGGAAAAGCUGCUCGUGCGUCGCAAGUUCUCGUGCGCAAGAGUGGUGCUAAAAGCUUUGCAAAUCGCAGAGCUAUUCUGAAAAAACAAAAAGGAGAUUUCAGUGAAUUGGAGUUUUUUUAAAAGUGUUUAUAGCGAAGGAGAUGGAAGAUUCAAAGAGGGCACAACAUCUCAUCAUCAGUUUGUGGAGGAUGCAAUCAAGAAGGUGCAAGAAAGCCUUGAUUACUCCUCUUCUUCCAUUCCCAAGGUUGAUAUUGAAAAUGAAGUUUUCAAUCAACUUAUGUAUCAAGGCGAGAUCCCUAAGCGUCCUCUAAAUUAUGGCUUUGGUGUGAUGCAAAGCGACAUCUUUGGAGUGGAAGGACAUUUAAGGAAAGAAGGGUCUUACUAUGUCAACAAUAGUGAUAUGGAAGUGGAGAAGUUGAAGGUUGCACUGUUAGAUAUGAAGAAGCAAAAUGAGGAUGUUGAUGAACAAAAUCAAAUAUUGAAAACAAAAUUUGAUGCAGUUGGUUCUAUGAUGGCACAGGUUUGGAAGGCAACACGCAGUGGAAAUGUUUCAUCAGAAGUUAUAGAUAAUGCAAUACAACUACUUGAUUCUCAGGUUGUUGAUGAUGUAGGUAGCAAUGGUAAAGAGUAAAUGAAGAGCGUGAUUUGGCUUCAAGCACUCUUAUUAUAUAUAUGUGUGGGUAUUUAUUAGCUUUGAUAGCGUUGUGUGUAAUUAGUUUGAACAUCUUUUUUAGGAAAAUAUCUAUAUAUCUCUGUAUUGAAAUACUACACUUGUUUAGUUCAAUUGGAUGUAUAACAUUAUUAUGUAAACGGAUUUUUAUAUAUAUG